rnacentral:lncRNA from 1 species
GGUGUAUUUCUAUUAGCUUUUUUUAAAGUCAUUUUCAUUUAUUUUUCAACCCGGCCCAGAAAUAUGUUUAAUAUAGCUGAUUUAGAGAAAGGCGACCUGGGUCACCUCUAACAAAGGCUAUAUUUAUUGUCACUGCAAACAUUUUACCUGUUCAACACCAAAUGCUGUCAAGUUUGGGGCCCCUGGCCAUGGCUCUUUUUUUUUCAUAAUUCAUCUUACAUGUACAUCUCCUUUGAAUUUGUUUGCUUAUUUGUUCUAUGGUCUAUCUAUGCAUAUCUAUCUAUAUACCACAUU